UGGGGUCCCUGAUGUCAACUUCGGGGCCCUUGAGGUCGCCUUCCACUUUGGGCAGAGAAAUGUCCAUGUCGCCCUUCACCUUUGGACCUUUCAGAUUCAGGUCAACUUCAGGCAUAGAGAUCUUCGGUGCCUUGAGGUGCAGGUCAGGCAUUUUAAAUUUGGGGCCCUUCAGUUUCCCUUCUGGACCAUGAAUAUCAAUAUCAGGAGUGUCAAUGUCCACUUUGGGUCCUGAGACAUCAAUGUCAGCCUUGGGCAGGUUCACAUCCACAUCUGGGCCCUCUCCUUUGAAGCCAGGCAUGCUGAACUUGGGCAUUUUCACCUUGGGCAUCUUCAGGUGCCAGUCUGGGCCAUGAACCUCCACAUCUGGUGCAUUAAUAUCAACUUUGGGGCCUUUGAUGUCAACAUCAGGAGCUUUUAUCUCUCCUUCUACU
rnacentral:lncRNA from 1 species